AUUGAACGCUGGCGGCAUGCCUUACACAUGCAAGUCGAACGGUAACAGGGAGCUUGCUCCGCUGACGAGUGGCGAACGGGUGAGUAAUGUAUCGGAACGUACCAUUCAGUGGGGGAUAACGUAGCGAAAGUUACGCUAAUACCGCAUAUUCUGUGAGCAGGAAAGCAGGGGAUCGCAAGACCUUGCGCUGAUUGAGCGGCCGAUAUCAGGAUUAGCUAGUUGGUGAGGUAAAGGCUCACCAAGGCGACGAU
rnacentral:rRNA from 1 species